UACGUAGGGGGCAAGCGUUGUCCGGAAUCAUUGGGCGUAAAGAGCGUGUAGGCGGCUCGAUAAGUCUGCUGUGAAAGUCCAGGGCUCAACCCUGGAAGGCCGGUGGAAACUGUCGGGCUAGAGUCCGGAAGAGGCGAGUGGAAUUCCCGGUGUAGCGGUGAAAUGCGCAGAUAUCGGGAGGAACACCAAUGGCGAAGGCAGCUCGCUGGGACGGUACUGACGCUGAGACGCGAAAGCGUGGGGAGCAACAGGAUA
rnacentral:rRNA from 1 species